rnacentral:rRNA from 1 species
CCCUUAGAUGUCCUGGGCCGCACGCGCGUUACACUGAUGCAUUCAACGAGCUUAUAACCUUGGCCGAGAGGCCUGGGCAAUCUUAUUAACGUGCAUCGUGAUAGGGAUAGAUUAUUGAAAUUAUUAAUCUUGAACGAGGAAUUCCUAGUAAACGCAGAUCAUCAAUCUGCAUUGAUUACGUCCCUGCCCUUUGUACACACCGCCCGUCGCACCUACCGAUUGGAUGGUCCGGUGAAGCCUCGGGAUUGUGGUUCUUGCCGCUUUAUUGUGGCGUGACCGCGAGAACUUGUCUAAACCUUAUCAUCUAGAGGAAGGUGAAGUCGUAACA